rnacentral:rRNA from 1 species
AACGAACGCUGGCGGCAUGCCUAACACAUGCAAGUCGAACGAGACCUUCGGGUCUAGUUGCGCACGUGUGCGUAACGCGUGGGAACCUGCCCUUAGGUUCGGAAUAACUCCCCGAAAGGGGUGCUAAUACCGGAUAAUGUCUUCGGACCAAAGAUUUAUCGCCUUUGGAUGGGCCCGCGUUGGAUUAGCUAGUUGGUAGGGUAAAAGCCUACCAAGGCGACGAUCCAUAGCUGGUCUGAGAGGAUGAUCAGCCACACUGGGACUGAGACACGGCCCAGAAUCCUACGGGAGGCAGCAGUGGGGAAUAUUGGACAAUGGGCGAAAGCCUGAUAAAGCAAUGCCGCGGGAGUGAUGAAGGGCUUAGGGUUGUAAAGCUCUUUUACCCGGGAUGAUAAUGACAGUACUGGGAGAAGAAGCACCGGCUAACUACGUG